rnacentral:lncRNA from 1 species
AAUGUUAAUCUAACAGUUCAAAAGUUUCUUAAAAGGAGUACAAAAGCGAGUGAACCGCUGAAUUUACAUCCAACGGUGAGUGACCAUAAAUUUCGUGGACUCCUGUAGUCCAAGAGAUCGAGACUGUAAUUUGUAGAGGAAAUAGGUAACAAAUUUCCUAAAACCCUUGCUAUAUAUUUCUGUCCUGAAAGAUUUAAGGAGCCUCAAAUUUGGAUAUUGCAACCACUUGAGACGUUAAUUAAUUAGACUUUAGAGAACGGUUAGGAUAUUGCAAUUUUUGGAUAUUAUAUAUUCUUUCUCUACUUUACCUUAAUGACUCAUAAUUACCCACUAGCACUGUAACACAGCUUCAAGUUGAAGCCAUGGCAGAGGCGUGGGAGGGGAGAAAGACUACGUAUUUUUAUAGUGUUAUCUCUGACUAAUAAUACUAUAGUAUUCGUGAUAAUACUUCGAUGUGGCAUAACAUUAUUGGCCGAAAAUAACAAAAUAAUACUAUCUCCAUUACAAUUACGUUUUUAUCCGUGGGCUGCUCUUAGGCUUAUCUAGUCUUUAAAAUGCAGUUGAAGAAUUUAUUAUUAUAAAAAUGACGUGAGAGAGAGGGAGGGGGUCAUAUAUUUUCAGAAUAAUUUUGCUAAAAAACGAAAGCAGAAGAAUUAAUUAUUAUGAAAAUGACGUGUAAUAAAACCACAGGUUGUGUGACAUUGCCGUACGGUACAUGCAGUCGGUGAGUCCACAGAUGACCAUGCAUUUGUUUUGAGUCGGAUUAAGCAGUGAAUGGGGGCACUAGUUGUCCAUCUUUAUAUGACCCAAUGACUUAAGAUAUCUAUAUGCAUAGAGACUUUUAAAAAGUAGAAGCAAUACAGCCUUAGAAAGGCAGUGCGUGCAUGGAAAAGGAUUAUCUGGUCCCGAUAUAAAUUUACGGUACCUAAUACAUUAGCGCUAAUUGAUAAUUUUUUGAUACUCUAAUGAUAAGAUUGACAAUUAGUGUCGAAUUGAGAAUAUAUCAGGUACGAUAAGUGUCGAAUUGAGAAUAUAUCAGGUAUGAUAAAUUGAUAUUAAAUAUUUAGUCGGUAGUUGGUAGGUACUUAGUAGCUAUUAAGUAAAUAUUAUAUGAGAUAUGAAGAUCAACAUGAAUUAUAUCUUUGUAAUUAAGUAGCUAUGCUUGUAUCUGGUCUCGAUUUGUAUAUCUAUUAUUAGGUAAAAUACUUUGAGAAAGCACAAAUAGUUUGUGGACAUGAGCGAUAGAUACUGUGGUUGGAUUAUCAACAAUGACAGUGUGAACGACUUUUCUUCAUGGUGUGCUUUAGCUACAUCUUCUACGCUUCUGCGUUGGUCACAUUCAUGUAAUCUUGAACAUGAAGCAACGUACCACAAAGGCUACCAAAACUUUAAUAACUGUGGACCAGAAGGAAGCAGUAUAUAGGUCCUACUACCUGUGCAUUUUUGCUGACUAAUAGUUUGAUGCUUAAGGUAAAUCCAAUACAAUUAGUGUAAAUGUCGUUUUACUAUAUAAUUAGGUAUAUCCAAUACAAAAUAAAUCUUUAAUCUUGAACAUAUUUAUAUAGGGGAUUCUAUGACUCACAAAGAAAACCUACGGAUACAUUUAUGUUUAUGUUUAAUCUCAUUUUCUCUUUUGUAAUUCCAUCUACUUUUCAUAAGAGUUUGUUUGAAACAACUUAUAUAUAAAAACUACGCUUGUUUUUAGAUGAUUAUUGUGGUAGGAUGUAAUCAACAAAAUAGACAAACACGGUAUUUCAAGAAAAGAAUAUAAUAAAAACUAUCUAAUUGAAUGAUCAAAUAGUUUCGGAUCCAAGUGAUUGUCGCAGAGAUGAUCUUUGAAGAAAUAUCUAAAAACUAGAUGGUAUUGGAUUAUUGAAAUGCAUGGUGAGUCUUAUAAGGGUGUCUUUCAAAUAAACUUAUUUGAGAAAUCCCUCAACUAAAGCCAUAUCAGUCUCCUUCUCACAAUAUUUAUAUACACACCACACCUUUUGUGAAAAUCUAAAAAUGCUAAAUUAGAAAUGAAAACUGACAGUUAAAGAACUCUCAUGAUCACUCUACAAGAUUGUGACCUGAAUGAUGAAUCAGCAGCUUAAGUUCACCCCAUUAAUAAAAUCUUUUGCCGUUCCCAUCCCGCCUCUAAUAAAAGCUUACUUAAUACGUAGUCCCAUCAACCCCUACCAUCAAAGUAGGGGUUGAAUUUGGUGCUCUUUAGCCUUUAAUCACCACAAGAGUCACAAAUUCUUCUCUCUCCUUAUCUUUCCAACCCCACUGAUAUCUCAGGCAGGUCUAUAAAUAGGAAGAACCAAGCCAUAUUAUACUCACUCAGCAAUCAUCUCUUGCAUACUUUCAUAUAUACAUUAUCGUGCUUCUUGUUAAGCAAAACAUGGCAUCCUCAAAGGCUUUUCUUCUUCUUGGUCUUGUCUUUGCUGUUCUCCUCAUCUCCUAUGAGGUCUUAGCUAUUCCAACUCGUGAGUUUCUCACUUUCUUAACUAAAUCAUAAAUAUUAAAUUAGUAAUUGUAUCUUUCUUUCCAGUAACGAUUUGUGAAUUUAUGCACAUUUUAAUUAAGGUGCACUGGUCGUGAAAAUAAUUAUGCUUCGAACUCUUUUUCUACAUGUAGGGUUAGUAGUUGUUGCACUUGCAUGGCUUAAUUUGCAUCUUAUUAAAUACAAACCGAUUUAUGAUUGUUAUAAGUUAUGUAUAUUGUUUUUGCUUUAUAUAUAAAGUUUUUGGUUGUUCUCUCAGAGUCAGAGGAGAGUACAGUCAACGGUGAUGCCCGCGGAUUUGGAGGUCAUGGCCGCGGAUUUGGAGGUCAUGGCCACGGACAUGGAGGUCAUGGCCACGGACAUGGUGGUCAUGGCCACGGACAUGGAGGUCAUGGGCACGGACAUGGAGGUCAUGGCCACGGACAUGAAGGGUAUGGCCACGGACAUGGUGGAUAUGGCCACGGCGGCCACGGCCACCACGGCCACCACGGCCACCAUGGCAUAGGGAGGCCUGGUGCUGCUGAGACUGAAAUCAAGAAUUAGAUAACCUGUUAGUUUCUGUGACUUACGUUGCAGGUGUGUUGUAAGGGUAGCAGUACGAAAUAAAGUUGUUUGGUUGAGUAAUCUAUAUGAACUCUCAAUCAUAAACUGUCCUAAGCUUGUUCUCAUGUUUCUCAUGUUCUCUGUAAUGUACGCAUUGUAAUGUACGCAUUGGAAUGUGUUCUCUUGUUAUGUGAUAAAAUGUGAUGUAACUUUCUCAAUACAUAUUAUGUCAAAAAUGUUUAGUGUGGCUUGGCUCCUUAAAAUUGAGGGGGAGCACAUCCUCAUAACAAAUGAGAUUUUGGCACUAGUUAAACUUCAAAAAAAUAAAAAUAAAAAGAGGUUAAAAGAAUUCAAAUGAAAAAAAAAAUUAAAGGAAUUUGCCAAGUGUCAAAACUCUAUUUCUUUUGAGGAGGAACUGCUCCUCAGUUUUGUGGAGCCAAACUUUUUCCUAAUAUUAAUGGAGUUCAUGUAGACUCAUUUGUUUUGGGUACCAAAUUUAAUGAAUUGUGUAUUCAUUGGUGGACCCAUAAGCAUACAGUUUUUAAUUUAGGUGAGAUACUCUCGGCAAUUUAAAUCAUGUCAAAAACAUGAUAUCAAAAAAAAUCAGCCGUCAUCGAGUUUGUAGAUAAAGAAAUAAUAUAUAUGAAUGAACGUAAGCUAUAGAGAAGAACAUUUUGUGGAAAACUAGAAAUUUGUAGGGAGAAAUAAGAGGAAGAAAGGGAGUAUAAUUUGCUCAAAUAAACUUGUAUUCCAUUCAUAUUUGGUGCCACUAUUUAUAGGGGUAGAGAGGCCUAAAUCAUUUACCACCAAUAAUUGAUAGGUGACAAAUAUAUAAUGAUGAGUAUUAUGAUAGGUUAAUAGUGGCCAGUAAUUGGGGAGGGUUCCCUCUCUCUCUCUGACUCCCUCACUUUGGAUUCUGUAUUGAUUGUUCCAUCCUUACAUCAUAAUCUCUUAUAUGUUGCCCAAAUUACUACAUCUUUGAAUUGCAUUGUAACCUUUUGGCCUACACAUUGUGUUUUUUAGGACAUUCUCAGCAGCAAGACGAUUGGUUGUGGUACUAGGACGGGCAAACUCUACUAUCUGGACUUGGCAUCUGACAGUGAAGCCAGCCUCAGUCAAGCUUACAAAAUUGGGGUUACGAGUGUUGAGAAGCAAACUUUCGGAGUAUGGUUAUGACAUCGCCGACUUGGACAUGCUUCAUUUGGAUAUUUACAGAAGCUAUUUUCUUCCUUAUUUUUCCAGUUAGAUAUCUCUAGUUUUACGUGUAACAUCUGUGAAAUAGCCAAGAGCCAUCGUGUUCCUUUCCCUUUAAGUUCACAUAAAAGUUUGGUUCCUUUUUCUCUUGUUCAUUAUGAUAUUUGGGGCCCGCUAAAAUUACCACUCUCGGGGGAGCUAGAUGGUUUGUCGCGUUUAUCGAUGAUUGCACACGUAUGACCUGGGUUUCCCUUCUUCAAACAAAAGGAGAAGUCAGUUUCAAGUUUCAACAGUUCUAUCACAUGGUGGAGACACAAUUUCAUACAAGAAUUCAAGUUCUUCGGUCUGACAAUGGCGGAGAAUUUUUCUACCAUAAUCUUACUCAAUUCUUACAAGAUCAUGGCAUCAUACAUCAACGCUCAUGCCCUUACACUCCCCAACAGAAUGGUGUGGCUGAACGAAAGAAUAAACACUUAUUGGAAGUGGUUCGUGCCUCUCUCUUUGGUGCCAAUAUGCCUCGGUCUUUCUGGGGAGAAGACGUCCUCUUUGUAGCAUACCUUAUCAAUCUGAUUCCCUCCAGUAUCCUUAAUUUCCAAACCCCCCCUUCAAACACUCUACCACCAUAUCCAAAUACCUUAUACCAAAAACCUAGAACUACGGAUUUUUGGUUGUGUGGUCUUUGUCUUCUUACAUGAUCACUAACACAACAAAUUGAAUCCCCGCGCCAAAAAGUGUGUUUUUAUUGGUUAUGCACCUCAUUAGAAAGGUUACCGGUGUUAUGAUUCUCCUAGUCAGAAGGUCUAUACUUCUAUGGCUGUUGUGUUCCGAGAACACGACAUAUAUUUUUCAGCCAUACAGGAGGAGCAUUGCGAUGCCAACACAUCUCAAAUUUCAAGACUUUUCCUUUCAGAAUUGUCACAUACUGAAAACGACCAGUUGCAGAAUGCAAGCGACCGGUCGCCGAAGACUCUGCCUGAAAACGACCGGUCGCCUAAGACUCUGCCUGAAAGCGACCGGUCGUCCCCCGGAAAUCCGAAUCUGCUUCAAAACGACCGGUUGUCUCUCUGUUGUCAAACUCAGGAGGAGAACAUUGAGGAGUUUUUGCCCGCUCAGGAGAAUUCUUUAACUCCAGUACCCCACCAAUCACCUGCUGAGGACGUCAUUCAGGUAACCUCUUUUCCUGAAACUAAUAACAUUAAUGAAAUAUCCUAUGAUGAUUUAAUUUCAGAAGGCACAUAGCCUACAUAUUAGAUUCCAAAAUGGAAGAACGGUGGAAAACCUUCAGUUCACUACGAAGCAGACCUUAAUGCAAAAUGGAAAUAUCCCAUCGACAAUUAUGUAUCCAUCAGUAGAUUAUCGGAAUCACGGGUACACUUUGUGAAGCAGUUGGAUGGCAUACCUGUUCCCAACAAUGUAACUGAAACACUAGAAGACUCAACAUGGAAAGAAGCCAUGAAUGAAGAAAUGCAAGCUCUUCAGAAGAAUGACACAUGGGAACUCGUGCCAUUACCUCAUGGAAAGAAGACUGUCGGAUGCAGGUGGAUUUAUACUGUGAAACUCAAAGUAGAUGGAUCCAUUAAAAGAUAUAAAGCUAGAUUGGUGGGGAAAUGCUACACACAAAGAUAUGGGAUAGACUACCAUUAGACUUUUACCCCAGUAGCCAAGAUUAAAACUAUCAGAGUUCUUCUAUCUUUAGCAGCAAAUCUCGAUUGGCCAUUACAUCAGUUUGUUGUAAAAAAUGCAUUCUUACAUGGAGACUUGGAAGAAGAAGUAUAUAUGGACUUGCCACAAGAAUGUAACUUAGCUCGUGACAAGGAGAAUCAAGUUUGCAAGCUCUGAAAGUCAUUGUAUGGGUUAAAGCAAUCCUCUAGGGCAUGGUUUGGCAGAUUCACUAAAUCUAUGAAGAAUUUUGAAUAUAUACAAAGUAAUGUAGAUCACACCUUGUUCUUGAAGCAUGAUGGAAGAAGACUUACUGCACUGAUUGUUUAUGUGGAUGACAUAGUCGUAACUGGAAACGACACAGAAGAGCAAUUGACACUGCAGAAAUAUUUGUCUCAGGAAUUUGAGAUGAAGAAUCUAGGUGAUCUGAAGUACUUUAUAGGAAUUGAAGUAGCUAGGUCCAAAACUAGUAUAUUUCUGUCUUAAAAGAAGUAUGUAUUAGAUCUGCUCACUGAAAUAGGAAUGCUUGGAUGCAAACCUGCUGAUACACCCAUCGAGAUGAAUCACAAGUUAUGUGAAGACAUGGAUCAAGAACCAACCAAUAAGGAACAGUACCAACACCUUGUUGGAAGGUUGAUAUAUUUAGCUCACACAAGACCAGAUAUUGCAUAUGCUGUGAGUAUGGUUAGUCAGUUUAUGCAUUCACCCAGUGUGUCCCAUAGGAAUGCAGUUGAUCGGAUCUUAAGAUACUUAAAGUCAGCACAUGGAAAAAGGGUUAACAUUCUAAAAAAAUAGAGAUCUCAAAGUUGUUGGAUAUACAAAUGCUGAUUGGGCUGGCUCCGUUACUGACAGACGCUCUACUUCAGGUUACUUCACUUGUGGGAGGUAACCUAGUCACUUGGCGGAGUGAAAAACAAAAUGUGGUUUCUCGAUCUAGUGCUGAAGUAGAGUAUUGAGGAAUGGCUCACGGAGUUUGUGAAUUACUAUGGAUCAGAAGACUAUUGACAGAAUUGGGGUUUAAGCCAGGAAAGCCAAUGGAGUUACAUUGUGAUAACAAGUCAGCCAUCGAUAUUGCCCAUAGUCCAAUUCAACAUGAUCGAACUAAACAUGUUGAGGUGGAUAGACAUUUUAUCAAAGAAAAACUUGAGAAGAAGAUCAUCCGCCUACCGUUGGUAAAAUUAGAAGAUUAGUUGGCAAAUAUCUUAACCAAAGCUGUUUGUGGAAGAGUAUUUUCUGACUCACGUACCAAGUUGGGCAUUGGUGACAUAUAUGCACCAACUUGAGGAGGAGUGUCGACUUGAGUCUCCUAAUUAAUCAAGGAGGUUUACUUCCUUGAUUAAUUAAGGGAUUUACUUUCCUAUUUUUUAUAUAGUUGAUAAAUCAUUGUAUAAUUAGAAGAUACUUGCCUAAUUCUUUACUGUAUCUAAUUCCUUGUAUAGCACCCUGUAAACUCUUAUAUAUACCUCAUUAUGGAGAAGAAUAAAGUUAACCUAAUACAUUCAAAUCAUAUUCAUAUUUUAGCAUUCUCCUCAUCUCCUCUGAGGUCUCAACUACUCCAACUCGUGAGUUUCUCACUUUAAAUUAGUAAUUGUAUCUUCCUUUCCAGUAACGAUUUGUAAAUUUAGGCACAUUUUAAUUAUAAGGUGCACUGGUCUUGAAAAUGAUUAUGCUUCGAACUCUUUUUCUACAUGAAGGGCUAGUGGUUGCACCUGCAUGGCUUAAUUUGCACCUUAUUAAAUACAAACCUAGCUAUGAUUGUUAUAAGUUAUGUAUAUUGUUUUUGCUCUAUAUAUAAAGUUUUUGUUUGUUCUCUUAGAGGAGAGUAUAGUGGUGGCGGAGCCACUUCUAGGCCAGGAGCGGCCCUGGUCCCUUUAUUUUUUUUGACUUCUCUCCUAUAUUAUAUAAUGUAAUAUAUACAACUUACUAAUAGACAACUUGUAAUUCAAAUUAAUGGCCCCUUUAAAAAUAAUUAGGCAUGACUAAUUUUGAAAAUUUUAGCUCUAACAUGUGUUUUGAACACUUAUAUGUAUUUGAUAUACUUGUGUUUUCUAUCUUGGCCCCCUCAAUCUUAAAUUUCUAGCUUCGCCCGGUGAUGAUUUUCUAGAUGACCAUGGUGACGGACGUGGAGGGUAUGGCCACAGACAUGGAGGGUAUGGCCAUGGCCACCACGGCAAAGGGGGGCCUUGUGCUGCUAAGACUGAAACCAAGAAUUAGAUAACCUGUUAGUUUCUGUGACUUACGUUGCAGGUGUGUUGUAAGGGUAGUAGUACAAAAUAAAGUUGUUUGGUUGAGUAAUCUGUAUGAAC